AAGAAAUAAUAUCAAGGAACUAUGACUUCUGAUUUACAGGCUACGUGGCAAGGUGAUGGGUGAGAGACUCGAAAUGGGUGCAUUCACUUGAGAAAUGUGAACAGGGCUGCAUAUCAUCAGCCAGGCUUCAAGACGUCUUGGCUGCCUUGGUGGUGUAAACUUCAGUAUCGUUCAAUACACACUCACUGGUGAGUGAAUUCACAUAAUAAUUUCUAACAAUUGCCUUUGAUCGAACUCCAUCAGCCUGUAGGAAA
rnacentral:lncRNA from 1 species